UCGAUGAAGAACGCAGCGAAAUGCGAUACGUAAUGUGAAUUGCAGAAUUCAGUGAAUCAUCGAAUCUUUGAACGCACCUUGCGCCCCUUGGCAUUCCGAGGGGCACACCCGUUUGAGUGUCGUGAAAUUCUCAAAAACCUUCCUUUGGUGGAAAGGAUUUUGGACUUGGAGGCCUUUUGCUGGUUUCACCUUGAAGCGAGCUCCUCCCAAAUGGAUUAGUGGGGUCUGCUUUGCCGGUCCUAGACGUGAUAAGAUGUUUCUACGUCUUGGGUUUCUGCACUGUACCUCUGCUUCUAACCGUCUCAUUGACAAUGAUGGUGUUCCGGUCACCGCCGAUUUAUCGGUUGGGAGGCUUGACCCACAAAACGACCUUGACCUCAAAUCGGGUGAGACUACCCGCUGAACUUAA
rnacentral:rRNA from 1 species